GCUGGAGGAGGUGACACACACCUGUGGUCCCAGCUACUUGGGAAGCUGAGGCAGGAGGAUCACUUGAGCCUAGGAGUUGGAGGCCAGCCUGAAAAUCAGUGAGACCCUGUCUCAA
rnacentral:sRNA from 1 species